CCUACGGGAGGCAGCAGUGGGGAAUCUUGCGCAAUGGGCGAAAGCCUGACGCAGCAACGCCGCGUGCGGGAAGAAGGCUUUCGGGCUGUAAACCGCUUUCAGCAGGAACGAAAAUGACGGUACCUGCAGAAGAAGGAGCGGCCAACUAUGUGCCAGCAGCCGCGGUGAUACAUAGGCUUCAAGCGUUGUCCGGAUUUAUUGGGCGUAAAGAGUUCGUAGGCGGUCGAGUAAGUCGGGUGUGAAAAUUCUGGGCUCAACCCAGAGACGCCACCCGAUACUGCUUGACUUGAGUUCGAUAGGGGAGUGGGGAAUUCCUAGUGUAGCGGUGAAAUGCGCAGAUAUUAGGAGGAACACCGGUGGCGAAGGCGCCACUCUGGAUCGAUACUGACGCUGAGGAACGAAAGCAUGGGUAGCAAACAGGAUUAGACACCCUGGUAGUCCAUGCCGUAAACGGUGGGCACUAGGUGUGGGUUUACCUAUUAACGAAAUCCGCGCCGUCGCUAACGCAUUAAGUNCCCCGCCUGGGGAGUACGGUCGCAGACUAAACUACAAUAGAUAGACGGCGUGAGACGUGCCGACGGACGACGACGAGGGAGUAGG
rnacentral:rRNA from 1 species